CAUGCAGUCCAGCGGAUGAGAAGAGCUUGCUCUUCGAUUCAGCGGCGGACGGGUGAGUAAUGCCUAGGAAUCUGCCUGGUAGUGGGGGACAACGUUUCGAAAGGAACGCUAAUACCGCAUACGUCCUACGGGAGAAAGCAGGGGACCUUCGGGCCUUGCGCUAUCAGAUGAGCCUAGGUCGGAUUAGCUAGUUGGUGAGGUAAUGGCUCACCAAGGCGACGAUCCGUAACUGGUCUGAGAGGAUGAUCAGUCGCACUGGAACUGAGACACGGUCGAGACUCCUACAGGAGGCGACAAUGGGGAAUAUUGGACAAUGGGCGAAAACCUGAUCCGGCCAUGCCACGUGUGUGAAAAGGUCUUCGGAUUGUAAAGCACUUUAAGUUGGGAGGAAGGGCAUUAACCUAAUACGUUAGUGUUUUGACGUUACCGACAGAAUAAGCACCGGCUAACUCUGUGCCAGCAGCCGCGGUAAUACAGAGGGUGCAAGUGUUAAUCGGAAUUACUGGGCGUAAAGCGCGCGUAGGUGGUUUGUUAAGUUGGAUGUGAAAGCCCCGGGCUCAACCUGGGAACUGCAUCCAAAACUGGCAAGCUAGAGUACGGUAGAGGGUGGUGGAAUUUCCUGUGUAGCGGUGAAAUGCGUAGAUAUAGGAAGGAACACCAGUGGCGAAGGCGACCACCUGGACUGAUACUGACACUGAGGUGCGAAAGCGUGGGGAGCAAACAGGAUU
rnacentral:rRNA from 1 species